rnacentral:rRNA from 1 species
GACGAACCGAGCGAACGUUGUUCGGAAUCACUGGGCUUAAAGGGCGCGUAGGCGGGUGCUCAAGUCCGUGGUGAAAUCCUCCGGCUCAACCGGAGAACUGCCUCGGAUACUGGGUGCCUCGAGGGUGGUAGGGGUAUGCGGAACUAUCGGUGGAGCGGUGAAAUGCGUUGAUAUCGAUAGGAACUCCGGUGGCGAAGGCGGCAUACUGGACCACCUCUGACGCUGAGGCGCGAAAAGCCCAGGGGGAGCAAAACGGGG